ensembl:snRNA U6 U6 spliceosomal RNA
GUGCUUGCUUUGACAGCACAUAUGCCAACACUGGAACAAUGCAUAGAAAAUGGGCAUGAUACCUACAAAGAGAUGACACACAAAUUUGUGAAGCAGCCCAUAUACUU